rnacentral:rRNA from 1 species
UGCGUAGGCGGCCCGGUAAGUUGGGUGUGAAAUCCCUCGGCUCAACCGAGGAAUUGCGCCCAAAACUACCGGGCUUGAGGAAGACAGAGGUGAGCGGAACUUGCGGUGGAGCGGUGAAAUGCGUUGAUAUCGCAAGGAACACCAGUGGCGAAAGCGGCUCACUGGGUCUUUUCUGACGCUGAGGCACGAAAGCUAGGGGAGCGAACG